UUUGUUUUCAUUUUACACAUUUAUAUUUUUUCUUAAGAAAUCCAGUCAGUAAUGUGUGUAUCUGGAUGUUAUUGAAUAUAGUUCGUAUAUGGUAAAAAAAAUAAAAUAAAUCUAAAAGAUCAAAUUAGUUUUGAAACUUGAACACGAUUUAACUGCAAACUAUUCAGCUUACUUGAGGCAACUGAAAAACAAGGAUAAAAUCAUAAAAACUUUGUUUCACACGAAGACAGCAUUUUUUUUAUUAAGCGCAUGAAUGGCUUCUUUUAAGGGGAAAGGUGUGGAAAAAACAGAGACUUUCCCUUAAAGAGACUUAAAAUAAGCAACAACAAAUACAAGGUUAAAAUAAAAGUUAAAACGUCCAUUAAACUAGAAGAAAACUUAAAUAAAUUAAACACAUCACACAAAUUAAGAUUAAUCCAUAUCAUCAACUAAAAUGAGUCGAAUUUUGCUACUGAUGACAAUAUGUUUUCUCUUUGACCUGAACACAAUACAGAAAACAUAUGCAUCUUAUUCCGCCUCUUCAUCGUCGUUAUCAUCAGCUUCUUCGAACUCAUAUAAAUAUCAAACAAACUCAGUAUCUAGUGAGAACGAUGAUGACUAUCUAUCACAGAAAGAAAAUGUUUUGGAAAAAUCGUAUCACGGACUAAUACGUGAAAACGAGACAUCUGUAGAAAUAACGCCUCUGAUUAAGGUGGAUGAGGAGAAAAUAUGCAACUUCCAUAUUAUUAAGAAACCAUAUCAUGAAAUACCAUUCCAAAUUGAAUUAAUAAACAAUUUGGGCAUUUUAAAGGCACGUCGCACUUUGAAUUGCGAGAAGCGUAAAAGCUAUCACUUUGAAAUUGUCGCCGUAUUUUGCGAUGGCACUCAUUCGGCUGCUGCCAAUGUCCACAUUGCCGUUAUCGACGUCAAUGAAUAUGCUCCCACAUUUCUGCAGCCGUCUUACGUGUGCGAAGCGGACGAAGGACGCCUGUACAAGGAGAUCAUACGAGUCGAAGCCAUUGACAAAGAUUGUACACCGCUGUAUGGUGAUGUGUGCAAAUAUGAAAUACUCAACAAAGAUCAACCAUUUACUAUAGACAACGAGGGUUCGAUCAAGAACAUCGAACAGUUGUCGCACAAAGUGUCACACAACUAUAUACUAUCGGUCGUCGCUUACGAUUGCGCCAUGAAACAAUCGUCGCCCAUCAUGGUGAGCAUAAAAGUGCGGCGUGUUUGUGAGGCGAAAUUUUUGGGCAUACCAGCGAGAAUCGAUUACACGACUUCAUCCACAGAAAGUUUAUCACUGUUUCCAAAUGCCCGUUUGGAAUUGUGUGACAUGUACUGUGACAGUCAAAAUCUUAAUAUACAUACUUCAAUUUCUCUUAAAACAAAGCAUAUAUCAUUUGGUUGCGAUCGGGAUAUAACAAACUGUUCUCAACAUUUGACUUUGGUGGACCUGUUGCCAAGAAAUGCCGAGUGGACUCGAGAUCUAUCGUACGAUGAGGGAUCUGAACCAAUAUUUCACUUCGAUGGCUCAUCUGGUGUAAUCAUACCAGACAAAUUGAUAGCGCGUCAUGACUUUUCGCAACAACCCUUCAGUAUUAUAACUAUAUUUAGGCACUUUAGCGGUUCAUCGGGUGAAAAUAAGCAUGUGAAGGAGCACAUUGUUUGCAGUGCCGAUGACCACAAAAUGAAUCGUCAUCAUAUGGCUCUCUUUGUUAGAAAUUGUCGCUUAAUACUGCUGUUGCGUAAGAAUUUCAAUGAAGGCGAUUUGAAUAUAUUCAGCCCGGCUGAAUGGCGUUGGAAAAUACCACAAGUUUGCGACAAUGAAUGGCAUCAUUAUGUGUUAAAUGUCGAUCAAAAUUCCAAGGUGGAACUGUAUGUUGAUGGUGUACUUUUUGAAAAUUCUUUGGAAGAUCGCCAUAACAAUCCCGAAGUAAUUGACGAUUGGCCGUUACAUGCGGCUCAUGGUGUUAAUACCACCUUGGCCGUGGGUGCUUGCUAUCAGAGUAGCGAAAAUCGUCUAAAACAUGGAUUUAAUGGUGACAUCUCUGAGAUCAAGAUAUCUUUGAAUGCCGUUCUAACAAAUGACGAUGUCAAAUGCGGCACGAACUGUGCCGAACAUUUGUUGCCACCCCCCGAGAGCCUAUUGGAGCCAGAGUCGCAGGUCCAAACAAAUUCACAAUUGAACGAAAUCUACAUUGAAGGACAGAGCAAGAGUAAUGUUGAGCUCUUGCUGCAGAAAAUUCAAUACAUAAAUACAAAGGAGAAUCCCACCAUCGGACGUCGCAACAUUGAGGUGCGUACCACCAUGAUGUGCAUCAAUCAGAGUGCCAUUCGCUUGCCCACGGUUGAGACCUACAUAAUGGUCAAUGAACCAACUAGCCCUUUGGUGUUGGCAGCAAACGCCACAGCAUCAUAUGCGGCACAUAUGCAAAGACUAGACUCCUCUUACAGCCCACUAAGCAUCCAAAGUCCCACGCUACGCAGACAUACUCCCGAAACGCCUACUACAACAUUUAUGACUCAGGCUAAUCAAAAGUCUCCAGACACAUUGGGCUACAAAGUCCAAUCAGAAUCGAGUGCUAAAUUCAAUAAAGGAGAAAAUUCCAAAAUAUUGAUAACUUGUAAUUCCAAUAAUUUGGUGUCUUAUCCGGAAAUCAAAAGUGGCGUUCACAUAUUGGGCAAUAUCAAUAUUAGUAUUGUUACCGCCUCGGGAGAACCUGUUCCAGCACAAUCACAAAUAUUAGACACAUGCAGCGUUGUUGUAUUUCCCUCACUAAAUCCAGACCACGAAGAAAUCCAGGUGGAUGGCGACGAGAAUCUCUCUACGACAUUGUACAUCAAAACGAACAUCAACAAGGACGGCGUCGAAAUGAUAGGACCUGACAGCAUUGCCAAUUACUUGGAUGUCUUGAAUGCUUUGGUCUACAGCAACAAGAAACCAGCCUACUAUCUAAAUCGUGUAUUCAAAGUCACUUGCUCUCAAAUGAAUUCUCAGUUCAAAAGUGCCGAAUUUACGCUGACACUCACGGUAUUGCAUCCCAAGCAAGUUCCAGUGAAUAAUGGUGUUAAAACAACGACAGCUCCCAGUUCUCUCACGGUGAAUGGAGGUGGUGAUUUGCAAACAAAUGCAGCAGAUGGCAUUCAAUACACUGAAAAUAAAGUGUAUGCUCAUGCAAUGACUCAUCAGCAUGAUGCACAAGAACCAAAAUCUCGCAUACAUUCCAUAGCCCAUAAAGCCGAAAGUGCUCAUCCUACAAUGCUGAUAAUUUUGAUCUGCGUAUUUUUAGUCAUAUUGUUAGGCGGUGUUUCAAUUGCGCGUCUAAAAAAUAAUAGCAAUCAAAAAUUUACUGAUCGACAUCAGCCAUGUCCAAAGAUUGCUGACGAGGCUUUAGUAUGGGACGAUUCAGCAUUAACUAUAACCAUUAAUCCCAUGCAAAGUGAUGCUGUUUCAGAGGGCAGUUCAGAUUCGGAAAACUCUGAUUCCGAUGAUGAAGAUUUAUUUUCUGUGCGAGAAUGAUAUGACUAUUAAAAUUAUGUCCCUGACGUAGUACUUAAAAUUGUACGACUUAAAAUUUAAUAGCUAAAGGCCGAUUUGCCAAUGUCAGCCAACUAGAGUGGGAUAAUUCCAACAUGUUUACCACGGCCGUAAAUUAAAUAAACAUACUCUCAUAUACACAACCAGCUUAAAAUAAAGAGUAGAGCUAAAAAAACAACUUAAUACAGAAAA